rnacentral:rRNA from 1 species
UACGAAGGGGGCUAGCGUUGCUCGGAAUGACUGGGCGUAAAGGGCGCGUAGGCGGUUCGUACAAUCAGACGUGAAAUUCCCGGGCUCAACCUGGGGGCUGCGUUUGAUACGUACGGGCUUGAGUUCGGAAGAGGGUCGUGGAAUUCCCAGUGUAGAGGUGAAAUUCGUAGAUAUUGGGAAGAACACCGGUGGCGAAGGCGGCGACGUGGUCCGAUACUGACGCUGAGGCGCGAAAGCGUGGGGAGCAAACAGG